GAAGGAUGGCUGCGGCAUGGGCUGCAGUGAGAAGGUGUGGGGUGUCGGGUAGGAGAAGGGAAGAAGAGGAGAAGAAGAAGGAUUAGAAGGAGAAGAAGAAGAAGAAGAGGAGGAGAAGAAGUAGAAGCGGGUGAAGAGGCGGCACCUCUGUUUCCUGCAAGAGGAAACAGAGGAGAGGAGGUGCUGCGCAUCGGGGAGAAGAAGGGGAGGAAGGAGAAGAAGAAGAAAGGAAGGUGAAGGAAGAGGAGAAGGGAAAGAAGUAGCUGCGGCUGCGGCUGCGGCUGUGGCAGCUGCAGCUGUGGUAGGGAAAGAGGAAGAGGAAGGAAGAAGGGAAGGAGAGGAAGAAGAGAAGGGUAAGAAGGGGCUGCGGCUGCGGCGAUGGCAGCUGCAGUUGGAAGAGAAGGAGAGGAAGAUGAGUAGGGGAGGAAGAAGAGGCUGCGG
rnacentral:lncRNA from 1 species